GGCAUGAUAGCUCAAUGGUUAGAGCAUGCACCAUGAGUGGCAUAGUUCUGGGUUCAAGUCCCAGUCCAAGCCA
rnacentral:tRNA from 1 species